UAGGGUAUAGCUCAGGGCUGGAGUGCACGCCUAGCACGCACAGGCCCUGGGUUCAAUCCCCAGUACCUUUA
rnacentral:tRNA from 1 species